rnacentral:rRNA from 1 species
UGGGGAAUAUUGGACAAUGGGCGAAAGCCUGAUCCAGCAAUGCCGCGUGAGUGAUGAAGGCCUUAGGGUUGUAAAGCUCUUUUACCCGGGAUGAUAAUGACGGUAACCGGAGAAGAAGCCCCGGCUAACUUCGUGCCAGCAGCCGCGGUAAUACGAAGGGGGCUAGCGUUGUUCGGAAUUACUGGGCGUAAAGCGCACGUAGGCGGACUAUUAAGUCAGGGGUGAAAUCCCGGGGCUCAACCCCGGAACUGCCUUUGAUACUGGUAGUCUCGAGUCCGGAAGAGGUGAGUGGAACUCCGAGUGUAGAGGUGAAAUUCGUAGAUAUUCGGAAGAACACCAGUGGCGAAGGCGGCUCACUGGUCCGGUACUGACGCUGAGGUGCGAAAGCGUGGGGAGCAAA